UUCCCUUAUGGUGAGUGUGAGAUUGACCGGACUGUUGACACUUGCUGCUGCUCUGCCUCCGUCAACGCGGAGAUAACCUUUUGUUUUUACUAUGGAUGUAAUCAUUUUAUUGGCUUUACUUUCUACUUGACGCUCCAUAAUACGAUCCAUCAUAUGAUUAACCGUGACAUUCGUCCCGCGUUACUUGAGCCAAUAUGCAGCUUUUGGUGGGUCUGUAUACUCAUGAUUACCACAUUAUUUUUCUUGACGGUACAGUCUUCGGGUAGUUACGUUUCGGGUCGUAAAACUCUGUUGUUAGGGAAGAACAAGUGCUAGUUGAAUAAGCUGGCACCUUGACGGUACCUAACCAGAAAGCCACGGCUAACUACGUGCCAGCAGCCGCGGUAAUACGUAGGUGGCAAGCGUUAUCCGGAAUUAUUGGGCGUAAAGCGCGCGCAGGUGGUUUCUUAAGUCUGAUGUGAAAGCCCACGGCUCAACCGUGGAGGGUCAUUGGAAACUGGGAGACUUGAGUGCAGAAGAGGAAAGUGGAAUUCCAUGUGUAGCGGUGAAAUGCGUAGAGAUAUGGAGGAACACCAGUGGCGAAGGCGACUUUCUGGUCUGUAACUGACACUGAGGCGCGAAAGCGUGGGGAGCAAACAGGAUUAGAUACCCUGGUAGUCCACGCCGUAAACGAUGAGUGCUAAGUGUUAGAGGGUUUCCGCCCUUUAGUGCUGAAGUUAACGCAUUAAGCACUCCGCCUGGGGAGUACGGGCCGCAAGGCUGAAACUCAAAGGAAUUGACGGGGGCCCGCACAAGCGGUGGAGCAUGUGGUUUAAUUCGGAAGCAACGGCGAGGAAUCUUUACCAGGUCUUGACAUCCUUCUGAACAACCCUAGAAGAUAGGGGCUUCCUCUUCGGAAGCAGAGGUGACCAGGUGGGUGCAUGGGUUGUCGUCCAGCUCCGUGGUCCUGAGAAUGUUGGGUUAAGGUCCCGCAAAGCGAGGGCGCAACCCCUGGAUUCUUUAGUUGCCAUUCAUUUUAUGUUUGGCUACUUCCUAAGGGGUGACUGGCCGGGUGAACAAACCGUGAGGGAAGGGUGGGGUAUAUACAUUCUAAAUCCUUAUUGUCCCCUUAUUAGACCUGGGGGGUUCACCCCACGGGUCUAACAUGUGGAAGAAAACAAGGAGGAGUGAACAUGGUCUUCCUCG
rnacentral:rRNA from 1 species